rnacentral:lncRNA from 1 species
CUAUGGGGUCCCUAUUGGGCUCUAUGGGGUCCCUGUGGGGUCCCUAUGGGGCCUCUAUCGGGUCGCUAUGGGGUCCCUACGGGGCUCUAUGGGGUCCGUAUGUGAUCGCUAUGGGGUCCCUGGGGGGGUCCCUAUGGGAUCACUAUGGGGUCGCUAUGGGGCUCUAUGGGGUAGCUGUGGGGCUCUAUGGGGUCGCUAUGGGGUCCCUAUGGGGUCCUUGUUGGAUCUCUAUGGGGUCCCUAUGGGGCUGUAUGGGGUCCCUAUGGGGCUCUAUGGGGUCUCUAUGGGGUCCCUAUGGGGCUCUAUGGGGUCCCUAUGGGGUCCCUAUGGGGUCCCUAUGGGGCUCUAUGGGGUCUCUAUGGGGUCCCUAUGGGGUCCCUAUGGGGCCUCUAUGGGGUCCCUAUGGGGUUGCUAUGGGAACUGUAUGGGGCUCUAUGGGGUCCCUAUGGGGUCCCUAUGGGGCUGUAUGGGUUCCCUAUAGGGUUCUAUGGGGUCGCUAUGGGGUCCCUAUGGGGCUCUAUGGCGUCCCUAUGGGGUCCCUAUGGGGUCCCUAUGGGGCUCUACGGGGUCUCUAUCGGGUCCCUAUGGGGUCCCUAUCGGGUCCCUAUGGGGUCCCUAUGGGGCUCUAUGGGGUCGCUAUGGGGUCCCUAUGGGGUCCUUGUUGGAUCUCUAUGGGGUCCCUAUGUGGUCUCUAUCGGGUCCCUAUGGGGUCCCUGUGGGGUCCCUAUGGGGCUCUAUGGGGUCCCUAUGGGGUCCCUAUGGGGCUCUAUGGGGUAUGGGGUCCCUGUGGGGUCCCUAUGGGGUCUCUAUUGGGUCCCUAUGGGGUCCCUAUGGGGCUCUAUGGGGUCGGUAUGGGGUCCCUAUGGGGCCUCUAUGGGGUCCCUAUGGGGUUGCUAUGGGAUCCAUAUGGGGCUCUAUGGGGUCCCUAUGGGGUCCCUAUGGGGUCCCUAUGGGGCUGUAUGGGUUCCCUAUAGGGUUCUAUGGGGUCGCUAUGGUGUCCCUAUGGGGUCCCUAUGGGGUCUCUAUUGGGUCCCUAUGGGGUCCCUAUGGGGCUCUAUGGGGUCUCUAUGGGGUUGGUAUGGGGUCCCUAUGGGGUCCCUAUGGGGUCCCUAUGGGGCUCUAUGGCGUCCCUAUGGGGUCC